rnacentral:rRNA from 1 species
CCGUGCAAAGGUAGCAUAAUCAUUUGUCUCUUAAAUAGGGACCUGUAUGAACGGCAUCACGAAGAUUUUACUGUCUCCCCCCACCAAUCUGUGAAACUAAUCCCCCUGUGAAAAAGCAGGAAUACAAAUACAAGACGAGAAGACCCUGUGGAGCUUAAAACUAGUAAUACUUGCUAAUCCUCCUAAAACAUCUCCACUUAGCAUUGUACUUACACCUUUUCGGUUGGGGUAACCUCGGAGAAAAAUCAAACCUCCACGCUGUUUAUAUUUCAGAACCUCAAUUCUAUAAAUCAUCAAAUUGACACAUUGACCCAUACACUUGAUCAACGAACUAAGUUACCCCAGGGAUAACAGCGCCAUCCACUUCGAGAGCACGUAUCGACAGGUGGGCUUACGACCUCGAUG